UACGUAGGGUGCGAGCGUUAAUCGGAAUUACUGGGCGUAAAGCGUGCGCAGGCGGCGCGUUAAGACAGGUGUGAAAGCCCCGAGCUUAACUUGGGAAUUGCGCUUUGUGACUGGCGUGCUGGAGUGUGGCAGAGGGAGGUGGAAUUUCCACGUGUAGCAGUGAAAUGCGUAGAGAUGUGGAGGAACACCGAUGGCGAAGGCAGCCUCCUGGGCCAGCACUGACGCUCAUGCACGAAAGCGUGGGGGAGCAAACAGG
rnacentral:rRNA from 1 species